GUGACAGAAGAGAGUGAGCACCCAUGGCCUUUCUAGCAUGCAUGCUUGAAG
rnacentral:sRNA from 1 species